rnacentral:rRNA from 1 species
UACAGAGGUGGCAAGCGUUGUUCGGAAUUACUGGGCGUAAAGGGCGAGUAGGUGGCCAUCUAAGUCAGACGUGAAAUCCCCCGGCUUAACCUGGGAACUGCGUCUGAUACUGGACGGCUUGAGUAUGGGAGAGGGAUGUAGAAUUCCAGGUGUAGCGGUGAAAUGCGUAGAUAUCUGGAGGAAUACCGGUGGCGAAGGCGGCAUCCUGGACCAUUACUGACACUGAUCCGCGAAAGCUGGGGGAGCAAACAGG